rnacentral:lncRNA from 1 species
AGAAAACUCCCUUUUACGUUCAACGUGGCCUUGCAAUAAAAAUUUAUGUGUUAUGACAUGUCGCAACUAACAAUUUAGUAAAAAUAAUUUGUUGAUAUCUUAUACGGUCUUUGGAUAUAAGUGAAAAUAAGCCAAAUUCAAAUAUUAGAAUAUGACCUUGACCUUUGACCUUGACCUAAUUUUCAUUUUUUUGGACCAAGGGCCUCAAAUCAAAAGAUUCUAGGUCUCUAUCACUUAUGGUUUAUAAGAUAGAAAUGCAUAUCACUUAUAUCAGAUGCAUAAGGGGAAAUAACUCUCAUAUGGAGCGGUCAUAUUGCUUCGGUCAAAAUAGGACAAAUCAUGCAAAGGAUAUAACGAGCAAUUUUGUAAAAUAAAUUGGUCGUUAUCUUUUACAGUUGCAAAGGAGUUGUGAGCACAAGGAAAACAGUGUUUGGGGAGAUAACUCCUACAAAGAAAAGUAUUCGGUUACGCAGGGUAAAUUUCAAAAGCGCAUAAACUGUUUGACAUCAUAUACCAAAUAUCAAAGCGACAUAUUGCGAAACAAAUGUUUAUCGCAAGAACAAAAUUAGGCGGAAG